GACGAACGCUGGCGGCGUGCUUAACACAUGCAAGUCGAACGAUGAAGCCUAGCUUGCUAGGUGGAUUAGUGGCGAACGGGUGAGUAAUACGUGAGUAACCUACCUUUAACUCUGGGAUAAGCCCGGGAAACUGGGUCUAAUACCGGAUACGACCAAUCUCCGCAUGGGGUGUUGGUGGAAAGCGUUAUGUAGUGGUUAUAGAUGGGCUCACGGCCUAUCAGCUUGUUGGUGAGGUAACGGCUCACCAAGGCGACAACGGGUAGCCGGCCUGAGAGGGUGACCGGCCACACUGGGACUGAGACACGGCCCAGACUCCUACGGGAGGCAGCAGUGGGGAAUAUUGCACAAUGGGCGCAAGCCUGAUGCAGCGACGCCGCGUGAGGGAUGACGGCCUUCGGGUUGUAAACCUCUGUUAGCAGGGAAGAAGAGAGAUUGACGGUACCUGCAGAGAAAGCGCCGGCUAACUACGUG
rnacentral:rRNA from 1 species